rnacentral:rRNA from 1 species
AUGGCGCACCGACCGGCUCAGAGGAAGAGGCAGCGGAAGAAGCUGGCCGAACUGAACUGCAAGCUUAGAGCAGAGCAGCUUAGAGCAGAGCAGAGGAGGUUGGUGGCCACGCCCUCACUGAAGUUAUGUUUCUUGAUGCUGGUGGGGUGGGUGUGGCGGUCAAAGUAUGAGCAGGUGCAAUCUGGCAAGAGGCAUGGACAGCCCACAAGAAGGAGGCAGCACCGCAAGUGGAGGGCGGUGCAGACGGUGUCCGAUCGACCUGUGAUGAGUUCUUUCCUGUUCCCAUUGAUCAUCUUGCUCCUGAUGCUCCUGGUGCUGGCGCGGUUCGUACCACCCGAGUGGCUGCCAAAGUUUAUGGCCUGGCUUCUGCCUUGGAUGUCAUCUAUUCUACCAGUCGCAGUACUGGUGCCAAUGUUUCUUCACUUUCUUUCUGGUUGGCCAAUGGAGCAAGCUUGGCUCCUGCUGAUUGCCAUAUGGCCACAAUGGGCGCUUACCCUUUUGUUGAGCGAGGAAUAG